rnacentral:misc_RNA from 1 species
CCCUCGCUCCCGGCGAGGCCGGGCCGAAACGGCAAAACCGCUGUUCUUUUGGGCACCCUAGGCCUUUUUCGUGUCGGAUCGUGCUUUGUUCAUCUUCCCUUCAGAUGAAAAACGCAUUUGUUUAGGACGAGUUAGACCGGCUUAAACCCGAACGGGCACCCGGCAGGGGGCGAAGGACGACAUGCUCGAUCUUGCGAUUGUAGGCGGUGGGCCGGGUGGCCUGAUGAGCGCCU